CCCAACUCUCAUACACUGGCCUUCCAUAGCACCAAUCAUACUGCCUCUCUCGCCCGUAGCCAAGCUGGUAACACGGUCCCCCACCACGCCCCUCAGAACAUUCCGUGCAACAUGCCCUAACAGGUGAGUAACACGGUCCACCACCACGCCCCUCGGAACAUUCCCUGCAACAUGCCCUAACAGGUGAGUAACACGGUCCCCCACCACGCCCCUCGGAACAUUCCCUGCAACAUGUCCUAAUUGGUGAGUAACACGGUCCCCCACCACGCCCCUCGGAACAUUCCCUGCAACAUGUCCUAACGGGUAGGUAACACGGAACGGGCUCCGGAGCCGGUGCCGGUGCCGGAGGCGGCGGUGGGGCUGGUGAUGGUUUUGGUUGGGGAGCCGGUGCCGGGGGUGGUGGCGAUGGUGAAGGUUUCGGUGGUGGUGGUGACGGUUUUGGUUCCGGAGCCGGUGCCGGCGGUGGUUUUGGUUUUGGCGGCGGCGGCGGCUUUGGCUUUGGUGGUUCCAGGAUUUCAAUAGUCUUGAUUGAACCAUCACCUUUGCAGCAUAGCUUGUCCCUGAUCUUUUCAGGACUGCAGCACACUACUUUUAUUGUCACCGUAUUCGUCUUCUCAUCGAAAAACUGUUCUUGUAUUUCUUUGGUCAAAAAGUUCAAACACAAUAUCUUAGCCCACCAUCCGCCAGCCAUUUUUUUAUUUGCAAACACAAAAUAAACAAUUCUACUUGCGCCUCACCAAAUGACACGCGAAUUCAGAAUUUUAUGCCAUUAUAAAACAUUUUACGAAACCAUAAUAUAUAAUAUAUGUAAAUGGACAUGGCCAGCGAUCAGAGAGACACUUACGUGGGAAUUUGCACAGUACUUUCUUGACUUUCUUGUAGCACUUUGAGCACUGAAGGUUAACCUUCAGCACCAUUAUUGUAACCUUCUGUAAACAAUAGUACACAGAUAAUACAAAAGUAUUUUUCAGCAGGCUAAUUAAUUAAAGAUAAAAGAGAGACAUUUAAUUAAUUUCUGACAUGAAAGAAUCAGCAAGGUAACUAUAUAUCUCCGUGUAUAUAUACACUAUAAGCUAUCAUCACGAAAGAUCGAUCGAUGCACAGCACAAACUUAACCAAAAGGGGAAUUACGAACCUUCUCUCCCAUAGCUGCUCGGAUCUGAACCUCAGGAAACCGGACACUGAUUAUUUGAAGCGUUAAUGUGACAGCAGGUAUGGAAAAGGGUCUUAUAAAUAAGUGCGCCAAUUUGAAACUUGUUUAAGAAGGGAAGGAAAAGUAAGGGCUUGAAUUCCGUACAUUAUACAUAACCAAUUAUCUGCCGACACGUCUUAUUGGAUGACGUCGAAUUUCAUGAUAUCAUCAAGGUUGUCGUUAUCUCCGUACAUAGUAAGUCUUUCUUCACAUUUAUGUAUGAUUGCUGACUCACCCAUUCUCCAUUGCAUUUGCAUGUGCUGCCUUUUGAUUGAUUGCCCUUUUCUCUGUUUUUCUUUUUUUUUUUUUGCUUUGCUUUUUUUUUUUCUUUUAUGUCUAAAGGAAAAUUUUUUGUCUUUCUCAUUUGAGCAAUAGUCAUAUUUCUUUACCUAAUUGAAAAUUAAAAAUAAAAAUAAAUAAGGGAAAAUGGACUUUAAUUGAACAACUGAUGUGAGAUCUAGGUAUAGAAAUUUACAUUCACCAACUCUUCCUAACCGUCAAAUUUGAUGCAUUUUUCGAACCCAGCACCUUGUGCCAUGGAUCGAGCAUUCAUUCUACAAACAGAGUAAUUGAUGAAAUAAUUUAAUCGAGCUAUUGGAAGUUUCACCAACCUAAAGUAAUCAUUGUCCUUAACCCAUAAACAAAGGGCCCAAUGAUCAAUUAAUAUAAGCUUUUGGAAGUUCAACCAAUCCCCGUAAGUAUACCUCCAACACUAAGGUAGCUAUUAUGGGCUUGUGGGACCCGCAUACUUAAUGCCUAAGUUAAGUGUCACAUCACUAAUUUAAUUUUAGAUUGGCCACACUCCAAGUAAUUAAAAAAGAUAAUGUUAUUAGUUUACCAGAAGCAGUUGUGACGCCUUGGCACCCACCUCCGCUUGGCCAUUUUAAAUUAAAUGUUGAUGCAGUCAUGGGGGAUGGUGGUGUGGGGGCCGUCGAUGGGUUAUCGGUUGCAAUUGAGGCAGGACUGACAUUGUUCAGAGAUUAUUUAAUUUUUAGCUUCGUGGUUUAUGUUGUCCAACGCUAUCUCACCAUUGUUAUUUAAGAUUAUUUUCUGAAACAUUAUCUCACCCAUAUUAUUGUUCAAAAAGAAAUUAAAGUAAAAAGCAGAUGGCCAAUUUAUCUCUUGUAUCAAUUCUUCUAUUCCUCUUCUUCAUUUAUGGUAAAAAUAACCAUUUUUCUUAAGUGUUUUAUGUAGCAUUUUUGUACUUAAUUUAUGCAAUGCUAUAAAAGAUCAAAUUUGAAUUUUAAAGAAUUAUUAUUAUUAUUAUUAUUAUUAUUAUUAUUAUUAUUAUUAUUUAUCAGGAACUGGGAAGAUAAUUGCCGAGACUCAGGAGAUAGAGCUCUGCAAGACAGCUAUUAUGUCCCAAAAAGAAUUUUGCUUUUGAAGCAUCACUUUCCCAAAAAGAAAUUCCAAAAAUUAUGUCUAAUUAAAAUCUUUUAGAAUCUCCCCAAGGUUUGAUUGCAUGGUUUUUAAACAGUUAUAAGCAGUUUUCAAGAAAUUGUUUUUUAUUAGUACUGAUUUGAACCUUAAGGAAGUUUGAGUUAAAAAAAUUGAUUUGGACUUAAUGGACUCCCUUAUCUUUAAAAGAAAAUGUAUCCUGCAGAAUUCGAAAGAAAUAAUUAAAAAAAAAUAAAACAAUGGAAUAAUUCAGAAAGAGAAAAUAAGAAGCACAUGUAAAAAGUAUUUUUCUAAUGAAUUUAUUUCAAUUUUUUGAUUUUAUAAAUAAAAACUCAAGGGUGAAAAAUUUUAAUGAGUAACGGUCGUUAAUGAAAAAUUUUAAUGAGUAAGGGUUGUUAUAUAUUUAACGAUGAAAUUAAAAGAAAAUAGUGUAAAUGAAAAAAAAAAAUAACAGAAGCGAUGAGAGUGAUUCUGAGAAGAGUUAGAGAUUAUUGUGGGUUGUCUAUGGUAUAGAGUAGGAAGAUUAAGUUAAAUAAAUUAGUUUGAUUUAUCUAAAUAAAUUAUUUCAUUAUAAAAUAGAAUUUACUCAUUGGUAAAGUACUGUAUAGAUGUUUUGGUUUUAUAUAAAUUUAUUAGAAGAGAUGAAUAUAAGGAGUAUUUUUAUCGAAUUCAAAAAGCUCAUAACUUUUCACUUGUAAUCAAUUUUUCUACCAUAAAUUUUUGUAUGAUUUUGGUCCCUAUGGGUAGAAGAAUUUAAAGGGGGCCAAAAUCAUAGAGGUAAACGUUUAGGGGUCAAAGUCUAAAAAGAGUAAAUUAUUUUGGUAAAAUGUCAAGAUAAAUUAAAGUUUCAGAGCCACCUCCCGCCUUUUUUUCAUUUAGCAAAAUAAUACUUUCAUGUAUUAUGCCGAGGUAGAUGUGAUGGACCUUUUUAAUAUUUAAAUUUUAUGAUAAAUAAUGAUGUGUCAUUUAUAAGAGAAAUUUUAUAAUAUAUUAGAGGUAGUACAUCAACUAAUACAUGUAUGACAUGUAUAUAUAGACUUGAUAUAACCUUUAUUUGCAUAAUAAUUUUUUAAAAUAAAUGUACAUAUAUUAUAAUAUAACUUGUUUAUUGUAUACCUGAUAUGAUACAUCUGAUUUAUUUUAGAAUUUUUCAUGUGAUUAAAAUUUUUUAUAAAGUUCUAAAUAAAUUAUUUUAUACCUGACAUUACUAUUGAAGAAUAUAUUGACAGAUAUUGUGGAAUAUUUAUAUGUAACUUAUUAGAAUUUAUACAAAAAUUGCAUAUAAAAUUACGAGAGCUUCUGUUCACUUUAAAUUAAUCAAUCUAACAAGAAUUUAAUUAAGGCUUCAUGCAUAUAACAAAGGCGAAGUGUAAGUUGUAAAAAGGCCAAAAAAAAAAUGUAUUGACAAUUUUCCAUUCUAGAUUCUAAAUUUCAAUAAACAUCUAAUUUAUCAACAAGCAUGUUCGUUCUUUUUAUGAUUGAAUGUUGAAAUAAACAGUGUAAGAUCCAUCUCUUAUGCUUGGUAAUGGCACCAAAAGAAAACUCCUCUUUGCUCCCUUUGCAACAAAGCGGAUAGGAUGAUAAUUCUUUUUCCAUUGCGAAGCAAACUACACUGUUAUAUCCAAACUCUGUUGACACUGAAUUGCAACUGACCUUCAUGCUUUCGCCCGAUUUCAAGUUAACACUAGUAGAAACGAAGCAACCCUUUUGGGUUACUGACUCCAAGGCUACUGUUUCAGCCUUUCCAUCCCAUCCGGUAACAAGGCGAAAAAUGGAGGAGCCAUGAACACUAGAAGAGUCUGCGACAACAAGUUCAUCAUCUGUUCCUUGCACUACAAGCAUUCCUGGGGAAGCAAAUAGUUCUAGCAUGACUGAUCUGCCAAUUGCAUCGCUGAGGGAUGAAAAUUCGGAGGAAGGUUUAUCGUUUAAGAUGAAUCUUAAAGUGGCUUGAAGGGCAAUGUCAGUGCCAGAUUUAGGGGAUUCUGCCAUUGGAAUAGAUUGUCAAGACAAAAGUCGAGUUUCUGGAAACUUUGGAAAAUGUGACCAGCUGAAAUUAUAUGAUGCAGGAAUUGGAGCAACAACUUCUGAAAGAGAUGUUGCUGAUUCAGUCCUGAUAUCGGAGUCCCCAUUGCUGUAGCUCGUAGGCAGAUAAGACCGUGGUGAAUGGCCGAUCAGCUGAAGAAGAAAAAAGAUUUUCAGUCAAAGAUUUUUCAUUGAUAACAGAAAUUGUAAACAAAACAGUUCAUGAAGAUUCCAUCGAUAGGCUCUGUCCUUAGAAUAAGGGGCAGCUGAAUGGUUAAUUUGUCAUCAUAUGUCCAUGCUGUGGUGAUACUUGGAAAUUUCGUGCAUCGGGAAUGUAACUGUUUGUUACAUGUCUUUAUAAAAGAUGAAACCCCACUUUUAAUUUUUCUAUCUGAAAUAAAAAAUUGAAAAACAAUCAAAGAUAUUAUAAUUCAGCACCUGCCGAUGGUAGAGGCAAAUCCUGGCCAUUUAAUGUUGCCUUUGCUCCAUUAGUAUUUGUCCACCUCGAUAUUCUGAAACCAAAGGAUAGUGAUCGAGCUGCUCCCUGGAUAUACAUCAAAUCCAGAAUGUGUGAUGGAUGAACUUCUCAUUACAAUGUUAAAAAAUAAACACCAAGUUUGAUAGCCAGUACCUUAGGAAGAAAUGUGAAUGUGAUAUGACGAUAAGGAUCUGAAGAAACAACAGGAUCAACUUUCUGGUUGGGCAGAAUAUGUCCAGAUUUCCAAUCAAGUGAGCUCGAUAUGUACCGAAUGAUGUAAAGACCAGGAUAUAAUCCUUCCUCUUCAAAGUAAAUUGAAUAUCCCAACUUUGCGAAUGACUUAAUUCCUCCAUGGGAAACAAGAAUAAAAUCUAGUAUACCAAUUGGCGGAAACUGUGCAAAUUUAGAAAGCAACUCAUGAGAUUCAAGAACAUUGAGAGUAAAGAGAAAAAAUGGGCAAUGAAUACCAGACAUGUGCCAUAACAGCACCAGAAUGAAUUUAAUUAAUGCGUAAACAAAUUUUAUUCAACUUUAUUUCUAAUCCAGUCAUUAACAUUCUUAUAGCAAUUUAACUCUAAGAUUUACCUAACACAUACGACUACUUUUAAAACUCACGACACUUUUUAAAAUAAAUUUUACUAAAUGUUUAAUUGAUUCUCUUUACAGUUGAAUAUAUUUAUAAUACAGCUAACAAUAAUUAUUUUAAAAAAUACAUCAUUACCAAAUAGGCCGCCAAUAAUUGGAAAACUAAUUGUAGCAUUAACAAACUCUACAUUCACCAACCUUUAUUUAUCUUUGAUUUUCCUAUAGAGUCUAUAUUACCCAAAAUGUUAAAGAUUAAACCAGCAUACAAGAAGCAACUAGAAGAAAGUAAACGAUAUGAUCACUGACGAUUACCAUUCAUGAUCAUUGAUUUAUGAGAUUGUGCAAGACAGUGGUGGAUUUCCUUCACAGGUGGAAUCUAACGACCACGGGUGCAAAUGAACAGCGACCACAAGUGCAAUAUGAACAGCGACCACAAGUGCAAUCUGACCAGCGACCUCUCCAAUAAACUCUAUUAUGGCAGCUACCACCCCAGCUCUCAUACACUAGUCUUGCAUAGAUCACAAUGCCUCUCUUGCCCCAAGCCAAGCUGGUGACACGGUCCCCAACCAUGACCCUCAGAACAUUGCUUGCAACAUACCCUAACCGAUGUGUAACACGGCACUGGCACCAGGGGUGGUAGUGGUGGUUUUGGGUUUUCCCCAUCCGGUUGUGGCGGGUUUUUUUUUAUCCCCAUCCGGUUGUGGUGGUUUUUUGUUAUCCCCAUUCGGUUGUGGCGGGUUUUUUUUAUCCCCAUCCGGUUGUGGCGGUUUUUUGUUAUCCCCAUCCAGUUGUGGUGGUCUAGGGUUAGGCUUUUUAUCAGGUUCCAGGAUUUCAAUAGUCUUGAUUGAACCAUCACCUUUGCAGCAUAGCUUGUCCCUGGUCUUUCAGGACUGCAGCACACUACUUUUAUUGUCACCGUAUUUGUCUUCUCAUCGAAAAACUUUUCUUGUAUUUCUUUGGUCAAAAAGUUCAAACACAAUAUCUUAGCCCACCAUCCGUCAGCCAUUUUUAUUAUUUACAGACACAAAAUAAACAAUUCUACUUGCGCCUCACCAAAUAACACGCGAAUUCAGAAUUUUAUGUCAUUAUAAAACAUUUUACGAAACCAUAAUAUAUAAUAUAUGUAAAUGGACAUGGCCAGCGAUCAGAGAGACACUUACGUGGGAAUUUGCACAGUACUUUCUUGACUUUCUUGUAGCACUUUGAGCACUGAAGGUUAACCUUCAGCACCAUUAUUGUAACCUUCUGUAAGCAAUAGUACACAGAUAAUACAGAAGUAUUUUUCAGCAGGCUAAUUAAUUAAACAUAAAAAGGGGGACAUUUAAUUAAUUUCUGACAUGAAAGAAUCAGCAAGGUGACUAUAUAUCUGUGUGUGUAUAUACACUAUAAGCUAUCAUCACGAAAGAUCGAUCGAUGCACAGCACAAACUUAACCAAAAGGGGAAUUACAAACCUUCUCUCCCGUAGCUGCUCGGAUCUGAACCUCAGGAAACCGGACACUGAUUAUUUGAAACGUUAAUGUGACAGCAGGUAUGGAAAAGGGUCUUAUAAAUAAGUGAGCCAAUUUGAAACUGGGUUAUUUUUACAUACCUCCCCUGAGAUUUCACGUAAUAACAGUUUAAUAGAAAGUAUGUUGGUAUUAUUACAUCCCUCCCCUGCCGUUAGUAUUUCUGUUAGUUGACUGUUUAUGAGGCAAGAAAAUGACAAAAAUACCCCUUUAAUCCCAGCUGGUAUUUGGCAAUAUUUGACGGUAAAGAUGUGUAAGUAUAUUCAAAAGUCUAAAAUAUCUACAUCAAACAUAAAUUUCACAUUGCUCAGGAGUUUGACAUUUAGGGUAAAAAAAUUAAAAAAUGCUUCCCCAACCAAUUCAACAUCUUCAUCCCAUCCUCAAACACAGCGGGGAACCAAUUCUCCGGCGCCAACUUGUACCCAACCACCACAACAAUCACAUCACAGAGCCUUGCGAUUCCCCCACUCACCCACCCGUCGCCGUGGAACUGCAACAUUACUGGCAGUUUCCUCCUAUUCACAUCCACCGGCUCGUACCCCCUGUGCACAUUCGAUUUCCCAUUCAAACUCAUCGCUUCCGCGUCGGCAUUGCCGUGGCCGCUGUAGCUGCUUCUCUGAUAACUCUUUUUUCCUUGCAGCCACUGCCGCAUUUGGGGAGCCGUAGCUGUUCCUUCGCAGAUGAAGCGGGUCGCGUGGUAGGUUUGCCUUUGCAUUCUUCGAGUUCGCGCGCGGUUUAGGUUUGGAUUGCGGCUAGAGUCAAGCUCGGGAGGGUUUAGUGCAGACUUAGGGAGAAAAAUGCGGACCGAGAGCAACGCAAAAGGAUCGAUGUGGAUAUCCUUAGUGGAAACGCCUUCGAUGAAAGAAAGAUUGGGAGCGGAAACAGAUUCCUCACGUCGGGUUGUGACUCCGAAAUGAUCGGAUUUGUCGAGCGAAGAUUGGAUCCGGUUUUGUAAUCAGUGCUUCAACAGAAACUUGAAGAAAACACUAUAUUGCCAAAUACCAGCUGAGAAAUUGUACCUCUAAGCCUUUAAGGAGUAUUUUCGUCAUUUUUCGGCUCAUAAACGGUCUACUAACAAAAAUACUAAUAGCAGAGGAGGGAUGUAAUAAUACCAUCAUAUUUUCUAUUAAAUUGUUAUUACGUGAAACCUCAGGGGAGGUACGUAAAAAUAACCCAUUUGAAACUUGUUUAAGAAGGGAAGGAAAAGUAAGGGCUUGAAUUCCGUACAUUAUACAUAACCAAUUAUCUGCCGACACGUCUUAUUGGAUGACGUCGAAUUUCAUGAUAUCAUCAAAAUUGUCGUUAUUUCCGUACAUAGUAAGUGUUCCUUCUCAUUUAUGUCUGAUUGCUGACUCUCCCAUCAUCCAUUGCAUUUGCAUCAUUGCAUGUGCUGCCUUUUGACUGAUUGCUCUUUUCUCAUUUUUAUUCGCUUUUCUUUAUCAUCCUUUUUCUAAAGGAAAAUUUUUUGUCUUUUUCAUUUGAGCAAUAGUCAUGUUUCUCUACCUAAUUGAAAAAUAAAAAAAUAAGGGAAAAUGAACUUUAAUUGAACCACUAAUGUGAGAUCUAGGUAUAGAAAUUUACAUUCACCAACUCUCCCAACCGUCAAAUUUGAUGCAUUUUUUGAACCCAAGACCUUUUGCCAUAGAUCGAGUAUUCAUUCUACCGAUGCAAUGAUUUAAUCGAGCUAUUGGAAGUUUAAGCAAUUUCCAUCAACAAAAGCAAUCACAGUCCUUAACCCAUAAACAAAGGGCCCAAUGAUCAAUUAAUGUGAGCUUUUGAAAGUUCAAGCAAUCCCUGUAAGGAUAGCUCCAACGCUAAGCUAGCUAUUAUGGCACGUGGGACCCACAUACUUAAUGCCUGAGUUGGGUCAUGGGUGUUACCUCACUGAUUAAAAGUUACAUCAAUAAUUUAGGUAUAAAUUGGCCAAACACAAAAGUAUUUAAUAAGGGAAGUAAUUUAAAUAUGUAUGUAACUUAACAUUAAUCUUAAAAAAGAUAAUGUUAUUAAUUUACCAAGAAGCAGUUGUGACGCCGUGGCAGCCACCUCAGCGUGGCCAUUUUAAAUUAAAUGUUGACGCAGUCGUGGGGAUUGGUGGUGUGGGGGCCGUCGAUGGGUUAUCCGUUGCAAAUUUGCAAUUGAGGCAGGACUGACCUUGUUCAGAGAUUAUUUCAUUUUUAGCUUCGUGGUUUAUGUCGUUCAACGCUAUCUCACCAUUGUUAUUUAAGAUUAUUUUUUGAAACAGCAUCUCACCCAUAUUAUUGUUCCAAAAGAAAUUAAAGUAAAAACAGAUGGCCAAUUUAUCUCUUGGAUCAAUUCUUCUAUUCCCCUUCUUCAUAUGGUAAAAAUAACCAUUUUUCUCAAGUGUUUUUAUGUAGCAGUUUUGUACUUAAUUUAUGCAAUGCUAAAUAAGAUCAAAUUUGAAUCUUAAAGCAAUAUUAUUAUUAUUAUUAUUAUUAUUAUUAAAUAUCAGGAACAGUGAAGAUAAUGGCCCAGACUCGGGAGAUAGAGCUCUGCAAGACAGCUAUUAUGUCCCAAAAAGAAUUUUGCUUUUGAAGCAUCAUUUUCCCAAAAAGUAAGUACCAAAAAUUAUGUCCAGUUAAAAUCUUUUAGAAUCUCUCCAAGGUCUAAUUGCGUGGUUUUUAGCAGUUAUAAAUUGUUUUUAAGAAGCCAUAUUUGACUGUUCAAUUGAGUUUGAAUCUUGAGGAUUUAUUGAGUUAAAAAAUUAAUUUGGACUUAACCCAUUCCCUUGUCUUUAAAAGAAAAUGUAUCUUGCAGAGUCUGAAAGAAAUAAUUAAAAACAUAAAAUAAGGAAAUAAUUAAUAAAGACAAAAUAAGAAAGAGCAUUUAAAAUGUAUUUUUUUUAAUGUAAUUCUAUUUAUUUCAAUUUUUUUAUUUUAUAAAUAAAAACUCAAGGAUGAAAGAUUUUAAUGAGUAAGGGUUGUUAUAUUUAACGAUGAAAUUGAAACAAAAUAGUGUAAAUGGAAAAAAAAAAUUACAGAAGAGAUGAGAGUGGUUUUGAGAAGAGUUGGGGAUUAUUGUGGAUCGUCUAUGGUAAAGGGUAGGAAGAUGAAGUUAAGUUUGAUUUAUCUAAUAAAUAAAUUAUUUUCAUUAUAAAAAAGAAUUUACUCAAUGGUAAAGUACUGUGUAGAUGUUUUGGUAUUAUAUAAAUUUAUUAGAAGAGAUGAAUAUAAGUAGUAUUUUUAUCGCAUUCAAAAAGCUCACUCAAAUUUUAAUCAUAAAUUUUCACUUGUAAUCAAGUUUUCUACCAUAAAUUUUCGUAUGAUUUUUGUCCCUAUGGGUAGACGGUAGAAGAAUUUAAAGGGGGCCAAAAUCAUAGAGGCAAACGUUUAGGGGUCAAAGUCUAAAAAGAGUAAAUAAUUUUGGUAAAAUGUCAAGAUAAAUUACAGUUUCAGAGCUACCUCCCUCAUUUUCUUCAUUUGGCAAAAUAAUACUUUCAUGUAUUAUCGGGAGGUAUGAUGUGAUGGACUUUUUUAAUAUUUAAAUUUUAUGAUAAAUAAUGUGAUAUAUGAUGUGUCAUUUAUAAGAAAAAUUUUACUAGACAUUGGAAAUAUUGCAACAAACUAAUACAUGUAUGACAUGUAUAUUUGGAUUUGAUAUAACUCCCACUUGUAUAAUAAUUUUUUAAAAAUAAAUAUACUUAUAUUAUAAUAUAAUUUUCUUAUUAUAUGGUUGACGUGAUACUUCUGAUUUUUUCUAAAAUUUCUAAUGUGAUUAAUAAUUUUUUACAAAGUUCUAAAUAAAUUAAUGUACAAGCAUUAUUAUUGAAGAAUAUGUUGAAAGAUAUUGUGGAAUAUUUAUAUAUAACUGAUUAGAAAUUAUACAAUAUUGCAUAUCAAAUUACAAGAGCUUCUUUUAAAUUUAAAUUGAUCAAUCUAACAAGAAUUUAAUUAAGCUUCAUGCUAUAUAAAACAGGGAAAGUAUAAGUUGUAUAGAGGCCCAAAAAAAUAAUAAUUUUCCAUUCUAGAUUCUAAAUUUCAAUAAACAUCUAAUUUGUCAACAAGCAUGUUCGUUCUUUUUAUGAUUGAAUGUUGAAAUAAACAGUGUAAGAUCCAUCUCUUAUGCUUAGUAAUGGCACCAAAAGAAUUGAGGAUGAUACUCAAUUCUUUUUCCAUUGCGAAGCUAGCUGCAUUGUUAAAUCCAACCUCUGUUGACUCUGUGUUGCAACUGAGCUUCAUGCUUUCACCCGAUUUCAAGUUAACACUAGUAGAAACGAAGCAACCCUUUUGGGUUACUGACUCCAAGGAUACAGUUUCAGCCUUUCCAUCCCAUCUGGUAACAAGGCAAAAAAUGGAGGAGCCAUGAUCACUAGAGGAGUCUGUGACAACAAGUUCAUCAUCUGUUCCUCGCACUACAAGCAUUCCUGGCGAAGCAAAUAGUUCUAGCAUGACUGAUCUGCCAAUUACAUCGCUGAGGGAUGAAAAUUCAGAGGAAGGUUUAUCGUUUAAGAUGAAUCUGAAAGUGGCUUGAAGGGCAAUAUCAGUGCCAGAUUUAGAGGAUUCUGCCAUUGGGAUAGAUUGUCAAGACAAAAGUUGAGUUUCUGGAAACUUUGGAAAAUGUGACCAGCUGAAAUUAUAUGAUGCAGGAAUUGGAGCAACAAUUUCUGAAAGAGAUGUAGCUGAUUCAGUCUUGAUAUCGGAGUCCCCAUUGCUGUAACUCAUAGGCACAUAAGAUCGUGGUGAAUGGCCGAUCAGCUGAAGAAGAAAAAAGAUUUUCAAUCAAAGAUUUUUCAUUGAUAACAGAAAUUCUAAACAGAACAAUUCAUGAAGAUACCAUCGAUAGGCUGUGUCCUUAGAAUAAGGGCCAGCUGAAUGGUUAAUUUGUCAUCAGAUGUCCAUGCUGUGGUGAUACAUAGGAAAUUUCUUGCAUCAGGAAUGCAACUGUUUGUUACAUGUCUUUAUAAAAGAUGAAACCCCACUUUUAAUUUUUCUAUCUGAAAUGAAAAAGUGAAAAACAAUCAAAGAUAUUAUAAGGGCCAUUUAAUGUUGCCUUUGCUCCAUUAGUAUUUGUCCAGCUCGAUAUUCUGAAACCAAAGGAUAAUGGUCGAGCUGCUCCCUGGAUAUGUAUCAAAUCCAGAAUGUAUGAUGGAUGAACUUCUCAUUACAAUGUUAAAAAAUAAAAAAUAAAAAUAAACACCAAGUUUGAUAGUCAGUACCUUAGGAAGAAAUGUGAAUGUGAUAUGAAGAUAAGGAUCCAAAGAAACGACAGGAUCAACUUUCUGGUUCAGCACAAUAUGUCCAGAUUUCCAAUCAAGUGAGCUUGAUAUGUACUGAAUGAUGUAAAGACCGGGAUAUAAUCCUUCCUCUUCAAAGUAAACAGAAUCUCCUAACUUUGUGAAUGACUGAAUUCCUACAUGGGAAACAAGAAUAAAAUCUUGUAAACCACUUGGCGAAAACUACACAAAAUUUAGAAAGCAACUUAUGAGAUUCAAGAACAUUGAGAGUACAGAGAAAAAGUGGGCAAUGGAUACCAGACCUGUGCCAUAACAGCACCAGAGUGAGUCGAAUGGUGUUCCCCAGUCCUUGGUACUUCCAGAAGCUAGAGGAAGCAUGUAAAUCAUUACACCAGGAUCGGUGCCUCGUUGGAUUCCAAGCACACCAUUUGUUAAGGCACGCUCAUAAUAAUCUGCAUAGGCCAUUUCUUUUGUCCAUCGAAACAGGUUGCGGGAGACCUACAAAAUUAAAAGAUUAUGCUAUAAAGUUAUAACAGAUAGCUAGUUGUUUAAUGAAACAGGGGAAUCAAUAUUGAAAAUUUUUAGCCAUUGAUAUCAGUAAAGAACCAGUUGAUUAAAAGUUCUUAAAUAUUGUCAUAUUACUUUAAGCAUGUUAUAACUCCGCGUGAUUCUUCAUUCUCCGUCCCUAGAGUGGUUGCUAGUCGCUUUUGAUCACUCCUACUCAUCAGUUAAUGAAGUGAAUAAGUAAAGGACUUGCCUAAAGCUAUGAAGUAAUUGCAACUUUAUGAUAAUAACUGAAGACAGCCUAUGUAAUUCAAGCCAAAGCAAGAGCUUAUCGAUGAAAGACAAGAACUUGAAAUUGGAAUGAUGCCUAACAUUAGUACCAGAACUAUCCAACUGAUGUUCCUCCACUUGCAUGAGUAUGAGAAGCAUUAACAAUAUCCAUAAAGAAUUUCAAUAUUUCCUGGCAAUGCAUAUAAAAAUUAGAUGAUCAAAUAAUAUUCAGAAUUUUCCCAAUGGAAUUUUUUUUAAGCAUAUUUGUAGGUUCUAUUAAGCAUUUUAUUAAUUUGACAGUAAAGUAAUAUGAGGUUAAGUAGUUUACCGUUUGAAGUUGAUCGCCAGUGACUUCAUACCUCAUUUGAGAUCCAAUAACAAUAGGGAUUUGUGUUUUGGCACAGAAACCGGAUAUGUGAUCAGCCUACAAGCAGAAAAGACAGAUUUUUAUGUCAAAUUUUCAAUGCGGAAGUAAUAUCUAAGCGCCAAAAAAUAGCAAAAUGAUGUUACCUGUACUGCAAGCAAUCCCAGUGAGCAUGGUUUGUCAAAGAGGUGAACCAACACCAGAUGCUUUGGAUCUUGCUGGGAAUGAUAACAGUAAAAAUAUGUUUCAGAUUGCAAAGUUUCAGAGCUUCUCAAGUAUAUAUGUAACAACUAAGAAAAUUAAAAUUACCUACCGUUAUGGUGAAUAACAUGUACAGGAUAUCAUUCAUGCCCCCAGUUUCUUCAUUAAGUGAAUCCCAGUGCCGUGUCACAAUGUACUUCGUUAUUACAUUCUGAACUUGACAUUUAAAUUACUCGACCAUCCAUGUUGUUAUCUUCAAAGCUUCAGCUUUAUCAGCAUAUGCAUAUUCAUCCAAUAAGCCUGCCAGGAUCUGCAACUCAAAGAGCACAAGAUUAGUUUUUUUUUUUUGAAUACUGAUUAAACAUCAGAUUAUUAUAUUACACAGAUAUUUACAACAACUGCUAUUAUAGCAGAUAUAUUACACUGAUAAUUACAAUCAGAUAUACAUGAUUGGGACUUACAUUAUUACAUUGAAUUCUGUGAAGUACAUGCCCAGACAAAUAACCCCUCACACAGGAGGGAUGUCCAUACUCCACUCGUAUUUCGCAAGGGAGAAUGAUUCUUUACAUAUUAAGAAUAUUUAGCCCCCACAAUGCUUUUGUGGGGGCUAGAACCGCUGCCCUCACAAGCCUUGUGAGGGCAGCAGCCCACCACUUCGGCCAAGGCCGAAGUGGCAGCACAAGAUUGGCCGAAGUGGCAGCACAAGAUUAGUUAAAGCCAGUUAUCAAACCUAUAAAAGAUUUAAUAGCUUGCGAAACAAAUAGAGUAGACUUUACCUUGUGAAUAGUGUAAUACGGAGCCUAAACAGUCUUUAACUUCAACACAUUCAUAUAGCUCCGUUGGAAAUGCAGAAAGAUACCCACUUCCCAUUUGAUUCUGGCAUUCGGACAGAGCGGACACCAGAGCGGGCAUUUUCCCUUAAGAGUGUCAUUGUGAGUGCUCGCCCACUUCAAUGCCAUUGCACCCAAGUAAUGCCCUAGACGAAUUCAAAAGCAGUAACUUUGUAAUGUUGCAUUCUUCAAUAUUACUUAUAAACUGAGAUAAAGAUUUUCAUAGGACCUCCCUAAUGGGACUGCCCAAUAAGAUGAUAUGCCACAAAUGACGUCAUAUGCCCAUCUCUUCCAAAAUUUGAUAGUGAAGUUGGAUGGACAUGCAUGCCACAAUCAUAAUUUACAGACUAAACUUAUACAUAUAUACCUACAAAAUGACCCCGGAACUCACAAGUUGGAUCCUCCCAGCCUCCAUAGGCUUUCCCGGCAUUGGCAAACUGGCUGUUUUCUGGAAACUCCAAACCAACUGUCAACAUCUAGCUUCAACAGAUACUCCAUAUUCAUUUGCUGUGCACGCCAAUGCAUUGAAUCCAAACCCAACAGAACAUCAUGCAAUGACACCUCCUUCAAAAACUCUCCAGGUUCAGGCAUUCUAACCUCACCUGGGUUUUUAAUUUUCCUGUAGGACAUUACCAACUAAACUCAUCCUAUUCCUCCCUCAGGAUCUUCCUCGGCAUCAGACUCAACCAUGCCAUGUCAUCAGAUGGCGUCAGAUGAUUAUGAGAGAGCAUCUCUAUUUUUUAUAAGGUUCAUUUCUGGAUGACAAAACGUUGUAUCUGAACUGAUGUGAAGCUAACCUUAGAAAAACCUUUUUACAUUUUUUAGCUAAAGCUAAAACGCUGAAGAGAAACAUAAGCAAGAAUUUGAAUAACACAAAACCAUUCAUUUCUUUUUCUCUCUUUUUUAUUUUUUUAUUUUUUAUUGAUUACAGAUAUUAAAAAAAUAAAACAAAAAAACGCUUUGACCCAUAUUUAUUACUUGAUUAUCCUAAAAUAAAUCUGCAUUUACCAUGUAAAUUUACAAAAAUAAUAAUAAUAAUAAUAACAGAUUCAAAUGUUAAACAUCAGCAAUCCAACUGAAAUAAAAGAAACAGCAGCUAAAUUGCCUUUACUUGCAGCAAAUAUUUCCAAUGACGUAUAUAAAACUGAACAGAAUUGAAAUAGCGUCGGGAAUAAAAACUAUAGGACAAGAAUAAAGUAAAAAUUACAGCAAACGUAAUGAUUAGCCCUAGGAUUCUGUUACCCUAUUUCUUCUUGGUAGCAUUUUGAUUGAUUCCUACAUUAUUUAGUCUAGCUUUACGAUGUAACCUGAAUCUAAGAAUACCCAUCUGCAUAUUAAAAAGUUAUUCAGAACGCCAGCCGGCUGCUGCCAUCGAGAUUAGAAAAGUAAGGAUGAUUUAUUGUCAUAACGGUGCAUUAUUGGCCUUUCCGUUCUGCUAGCCAACUUUUAAUCUUGAAUGUUGAAAUAAACUGUAUAAGUUUCAUCUCUAAAGCUUAGCAAUGGUGCCAGAAGAAAAUUCCUCCUUGCUCCUUUCGCCACAAAGCUGAUUGAAUGAUACUCGCUUAUUCCUUUUUCCAUUACAAAACUAGCUGCCUCGUUAAAUCCAUCCUCCGAUGACUCUGUGCUGCAGCUGAGCUUCAAGCUUGCACCUGAAUUGAAGUUCAUACCACUAUACACAAAGCAACCCUUUUGAUUUACCGCCUCCAAGGAUAUUGUUUCAUCCUUUCCAUCUAACCCUGCAACCAAACGGAAUACAGAAGAAUCCCCUUCCUUUGGAGAAUCUGAGACAACAAUUUCACCAUCUGUUCCUUGCUGCACUACAAGCAUUCCUGGAAAAUCAAAUGGUUCUAGCAUAACUGAUUUGCCGAUAACAUCUUUGAGUGAUGAAACUUCGGAUGAAGAUUCUUCCUUCAUGAUGAGUCGGAAAGUGGCAUGAAGAGCAGCAUCAGUGCCAGAUUCAGGGAACUUUUCCAUUGUAAUGGAUUGGUUUGAGUUUGAUAGUACAAAAGCAGAGUUUCCAGACUCUUGGGCAAAAGUAACGAGCUGACCAUUGUACGAGGCAGGGAUUGGAGUUAUCCAGUCUGAAAGAGAUUUUGCUGACCCAGUCUUAAUGUCCCAGUCCCCACUAGUGUGACCAGCUAGUAGAUAGGGACCAUAAAGAAUCGCCUGAAUAGAUGCAUACGCAGGCUGGUCAUCUGGACAAGAAAACUUUGUCAAUCAAAGAUCACAUACUAGAGAACAAAAAUAUUUGAUUGCGGCCAAGCAUAUAUUUGCAAUGAAAAAGCUACAAGAGGGGUCACUAGACGCAUAGCUUUGAAAACUAUUGCUCCAUGAAUACCUUUAAUAGCCUCUGUCCUUAGAUUGAUGGGCAGCUGAAUGGUUAAUUUGUCAGUAGAGCUCCAUCUUUUAGUGACAGAUAUAAAGUUACCUGUACUAGGAAUAUGUCCAUAGGUCAAAUGUCCGUAUGCGAAAAAAGUGAAAAGAUUCAAAGAACAAUGUCAUCAAAAAGGAAAAGGAUACAAGUAAUAAUAAAAUAUGAAAAUAUCAGUGAAAAGGUCAGACAUUUUUUCUUCCUUUCUCUGAAGUAAGACAUUAAAAAGAAUUAAAGAAACUAGUAUUGUGUUAACACCUGGAGCUGGGAGAGACAAACUCUGGCCAUUUAAUGUUGCCUUGGCACCAUUUGAAUUUGUCCAGAGCGGUAUCCGCAAAUUCAAGGAAGAUGAUUGGCUUGCCUCCUGCAUAAAUCAGAUUCAAGUACGAGCUCUACUUCCAGUUGGAUUUUUUUAAUCAAUCGAAUAGUUCAGUAUCAAUAAUGGUUAGACCCUCACUGUCAUCCAAAGUUAAUGUCUCAUUGUUCAUUUUGAGUGCUUCUAAAAUAGAGGAAAUGAAACAAAAUACUGAAACUCACAUAUACAAUAUACAUAAACAUUUCUUUUCUUUUCGUAAACCCUACAAAGAGGACAAUAGUUUGUUAAUAAUUAAAAACAUGCAUAAAAAUUCUUUUAAACCAUUACAAUGGUGCUACCGGAAACCUUACGCAAGUGGGUAUUAGAACUGCAACCAUCAAUAUCUUACCUGUUGAAUCAACUAGUAAUCAAAAACAUAAUCUACAGCCUUAUUAUCAUCUAUAACUUGUAACUAUCUCACAUAUGUGGUUAAGUUACUCUCAACAAGAGAUAAUAGUCCCAAUUCUUUACUUCAAUCAAGCAAAACCACAAAGCAUUAAACAAGAGACGCAUCCCUAGGACCCCACAAGUCAAUUUGUACUCCAUUAUUAUCAAUUUCCUAUCUUGUUAAUCUUUUCAAAUUUGUUUGGUAUCUCUUAAGUUUCCGAAGUCAUACCCUAAGCCAUCAGACACAAUCAGAUAGUACUUGUCUAAUACAAGAUACUGGAGAAUAGAUUCAGGAGUAAAUGCAGAUAGUACCUGCUUUGAAGAAAAUGUGUGUGUCAUUCGAAGGUAAGGAUCCCAAGAGACAACAGGAUCAACUUUCUGAUUCAGCACAAUAUUUCCAGAUUUCCAGUCAAGUGAGCUUGAUAUAUACUGGAUGAUAUAAAGACCAGGAACAUUUCCUUCCUCUUCAAAGUAUAUGGAAUCUCCUAACUUUGAGAAUGAUUCAAUUCCUACAAAAUCAUGAAAAAAGAACUAUCACAUGACCGGAACAAUGGAAGAGAUUUAUAUAACAUCAAUGAUACCAGCAAAAAGUAGACACGAAAUGCCUAGUGGCAAAGCAAUUUGGAGUCAUAACCACAUAAAAAUGAGAAACAAAUCAUUAGAUGUGAGUCAAGGCCGAAGGGGAAAAACAAUGUAAUGCAGUUCAAGUUAUCAUGAAAGGGAAAGUUGAAUCCAGCGAAUGAAUCCCAAACCUGUGCCAUAACAGCACCAGAAGGAAGAGAACCUUGUUCCCCAUCCAUGGUAGCUUUUGGCCUUGGAAUCUCCACGACCUAGUGGAAGCAUGUAAAUCAUCACUCCAGGCUCUGUUCCUCGUUGGAUACUAAGUACACCAUUUGUCAAGGCACGUUCAUAAUAAUCUGCAUAUACCAUUUCUUUUGUCCAUCUAAACAGGUGCCGCGAGACCUACAAAAUCAAUUAAGUUUCCCAUGUAAUUGCAAAGAGCAGUAGCAUUCAUGCUGAUGCAGUAAUGAAAAAACAGACGGUAUGAUCACCAAAAAAGAUGAUUCCAAAUGCUAGACCCAUAACAGCAGAGAGUUAUCAAUUAUUGUAAUAAUUUAAAAAAAAAAUGCAAAAACAGAUAAUAAAACAUUCCCCAGAUGGAGUUUAAACAAAAUAUAUAGUAGAAAAUCCUUUGCUUCCAGAGUUCCAGCAAAUGAGCAUACCUUCAGCAUAUUAUAAGUUGUGCACGAUUCUUCAUUCUCUGUCCCCAGAGUGCUUGCUAAUCGCUUUGGAUCUGACCUACUCAUGGUAAAGAAUACCACCAAGACUCAGAUAAAUAAUGGGCAUAAGGCUAUGAAGUAAUAGUUAGUAAGGAAAUUCAGAAUAGCUUGUGGAAAUUCAGGCAGGAGCUUGAGCUAAUUAAGGAAUGAGAGGUAAAUCAAAUUCAAAAUGCCAGAUAUUAAUACCAAAACUCUCCAGCUGAUGUUCCUCCUGUUGCAUAACUAUGAGAAGCGUUAACAAUGUCCAUAAAGAAUGUUCCUAUGACCUGCACCAAAAUUAGAUAACGAACAUUAAAGUCUUUCAAAAAGAACUUUUGUAAGCAUUUUUAUUUAAAUUCUAAAACAUCAGAAAAUCAAAAGGUAGAACCUAUGUAGUCACCACCAUUUCUGAAGACUUAAGAUGGAAGCUAAACAUUGAGCCUCUGAAGAAUAAAUAAAUUAGAUCUCUCAAAACAGAGAGUAAGCAGCCCACAGUGAUGAUAAUUUGGAAAACGCAAGCUAGGCAGGUGGAAGUGAGGGCAUGAUCAUAUAGAAGGAAACUAAGCAAUUGAACUUGAACCAAUGCCAGUAAGCAAUUUACCUUGUAGAGUGGAUCACCAAUGACCUCAUACCGCAUUUGAGAUCCAAUAACAACAGGGAUAUGAGUAUUGGCGUGAAAACCAGAAAUGUCAUCAGCCUACAAGCAAAAGAAAUAAACCAUCAUCAAGAAUAAAGAGAAAAUCAGCCUUCUAAUUUUUCAUUUUCUUCUGAGUUUUACAUGAUUUUCACCCGUUUAGACACCUAUAUGGAACCAGAAACUCAAUUCUACUCAUGCAUACAUAAGAUACCAAAGUUAUGUAUGUAUGUGUUUGAGUUCUGCGCAUUUAUGAAACUAAUCUUCACUCCAAACCAAAAUUUUUCCAGGGCAACUACAUCAGCUAGAGUGCCUAUGGUCAAAAGUUGACAAAAGAACCAGCAAAUAAUUAAUUAACAUAAAGAAUUAGUUCCCAUGUCAUGUAACUCCAUACUGUCAAACUAUGAUUUUUGUCCAUUUUAGAGAUUAUUAGCGUAUUAAAACCUCUUAUGAAUGAUAAAGCAAUUAUAGUUACCUGCAUUGCAAGCAAUCCCAAAAAGCAGGGCUUGUCAAAAAGGUGAGCCAACAAUAACUGCUUUGGAUCUUGCUGAACACAGUAACAUAAAAAGCUUUAGAAAGCAAAACACAGAAUAUCUGCAGUAAAAUAAUAUUUCCAGAAUCACAUGCUUAAUUGGUUGUAAAUGAGCUGUUUCUGCUGAUAUAUAUCGACCAAGUCCACAACAUAAUUUCAAUCAUUUUUAAUAUAGAGUCAAAUGAGGUGAAAGGGAAGUUGCAGGUAAUAGGAUACAUACCGUGAUGGUAUAUAACCUGUAAAGCACAUCAUUCAUGCCACCGGUUUCUUCAUUAAGCGAAUUCCACUGUCUUUCCACACUAUACUUUGUUAUAACAUUCUGAACACGAUUGUAAAAGUACUCAACCAUCCAUUUUGUCAUCUUCAAAGCUUGAGUAUUAUCAGCAAAUGUAUAUUGAUCCAAUAGACCCGCCAAGAUCUGUCAAAGUAGAUUAGUCUCUAGCAAAUUAUAUAACUUUACAAGGACUAAAUAUAUGAAUUGUAUCUUGCAAAACAAACAAGAUAAACCUUACCUUGUGAAUAGUGUAGUAUGGAGCCCAGACAGGUUUUAAAGCUUCAAAGCGGUCAAAUUGUUCCGAUGGAAAAGCAGAAAGAUAUCCCGAUCCCAUUUUAUUCUGACACUCAGAUAAGGCAGACACCACAGCAGUCAUUUUCUCUUUGAGAGUAACAUUGUGAGUACUAGCCCACAUGUGUGCUGAUGCACUCAAGUAAUGCCCUUUAAGAAGCCAAAAAGCAAGUUAGUCGUUCAAAUUAUAUCAACUAAAAUUUGAAUAACCCAAUUAACUUGCUGCAGAGUCAAGCAUCAAAACAUUGUGAAAGCUGAGAAAUGUUGAAAUUGAAAUUGUCCACAUAAUUUAGUGGCUAAAUUACACUGUAAUUCUGCAUAUUGCAACUCCAGGAUCCAAGCUGUAAAUAUUUAAGAAUCCUAAUCCACACAAAACCCACAGCAUGACUCCAAUGAUUAGAAAGAUUUAACUGACCAUUCUUUCAUGGUAUUUUAUACAAAGAAGAUAAGAUACAAAAUUCAAAAGCAACCUAAAAUUUGUCAAAUUACAAUCAGAGCAUUAUAUUGCUGAAGAAGCUCAAUACAUUUUAGAAAGAUGGUUCUUUCUUCAUCCUUCUUUCUGUUGACAUCUCAAAGACAAGAAAGUGCUUUCCCAAGCUUAGACAUGUAACAGAGGGGAAGAGAAAGAAUCUAGGAUCAUUAGGAAUUAAUUACAACUACUCCACCAUUAACAGUAGCACUAACAGUAAAAAAGAGUGGUGUGAAUAGUGUAAAGUUGAUUCAUGAUACCUUCUAUAACUCUCUUUCAGUCCAUUCACAUAAAUUCUUAACUUAAAAGUGAAUUUAGUUAAUCAUUUUGCAGAAACAUCAUUAAAUUCGUCAAAGUCAUAAUCAGUUUGCGUAGACAGUAAGGAAAACUGCAGUUUAAACUCAAACACAAUGAUAUAGAAUUACGAACUGAAAUUACCUACAAAAUGACCCCGAAGCUCACAUGUUGGAUCCUCCCAACCUUCAUACGCUUUCCCUGGUGUAGGCAAACCAGCUGUUUUUCUAAAGCUCCAAACCAAACUAUCCACAUCCAACAUCAAUAGAUACUCCAAAUUUGUUUGUUGUGCCCGCCAAUGCAAUGAACUUGGGUCCAACUUAACAUCAUGCAAUGAAACCUCCUUAAGAAAAUCACCGGCCAAUUUAAACCCAUCUGGAUUUUUCAUUUUCCUAUACAUCAUAGUCCAACUAAAUUCGUCUGUCUCACUCAACAUCUUUCUUGGUAGCAAAUUAGACCAAGCUGAAUCAUCAGUUGGUGUCAAAUGGUAAUGAGAGUACACCUCUUUUUUCCACGUUUCAUUUUUGGAUGAUAAGAGUUCGUAUCUAAAUGUAUGCGAUGCUAGCUGAGGAAAUGAGUUUGUACACUCCUUACACAAAGCCACCCAACAAGAGAGAAACAAAACCAACACUUUAAACAAAAAAUUCUUCAUUUUUAUCAAAAAACUCAGAUUCAAAAUCUCUAACUUUUAGUAAACCAAAGUACAGCGUAAAAGUCCGCACUAAACCAACAGAUAGUUUAUCAACAAAACAGAAUCAAAAUACUGCAAAUUAUUGAAAUUCACCAAUUUGAAUAUAAUUCAAGACCAAAAGAACUCAUUGUAACACCUUUUGAGCUCAAAAUUUAGCACAAAAUAAUCAAGCCAUACAGUAUAACCACAACCCCAGGAAGCAAAAUCCUUUAACUUGACCAAAUUCAGCUUAAUUAAACAAAAAGCCAGAGCAUUCAAAUAUAAACAACACCAGAACUCAAAAAACUCAAAAUUCAAUGAACUUGAUAACAACAAAAAACACACACUUCAAGCAAAAAGAAACUUUGAAAAGUUCAAUGCAAAACUCUCACUACAAACACACAUGCGAACUCUCAAAGACUAAAAGCUCCAAUAUAUAUACACCCACGCAAAUAGAGCAAGCAAGCUAAGUAAAGCAAGAAUCCAAAAACUGAAGCUAUAUCUUUAAAACCAUCUCGUGAAAGCUAAGAAUUUGUUUACGUGUAAAAUAAUGAAAAGGGCAUUAUCCCAAAUGAAUAAAUAAAUGAAAUAAAAUAAAUUUACAGAUAUUUACAGUGAAGAAUCACGGAUUGGGUGUCUGUUUCUGCGGAGGUUGGUUUAUUAUGUUGACUCAUUAGUCAGUGCGAGUGAAGCUUUUCAACAAAAUGAAUCUUUACAAAACAACAAAAGAAUAAAAUAAAAUAAAAAAUGAAAUUCACUCAAUUACAAUGAAACUGCAGAGGAAUCAAUGGUCUCUGUGCUCUCAAACAGCAAACAAGCGUUUGUGUUUUGCUUAAAAGUCGAGCCGUUAAUUGGAUAAUCUAUUCAUCUUUAAUGUAACAAGAAAACACACUGAAUCUAAAUCUUUUAGUAAGUGCAAGUUGAUUUAAUUCUACUACUGAUUUUAUUAAGAAAGAAAUCAAUAAUCCACUCAAUAUAAUCAAUUGAUCAAAUGAGAAUUUUAGCAUGUACGUUUUAAUUUACUAAAACUUAUUAAAACCGGCCAAACUGAAUCAUUGUUAUGAAAAUAUUUAUUUGUUCGCGAAAAUUGAUGGUAUUUAAAACAAUGGUUUAAUUAAGAGUGGAGAUAUAUCAACUUAAUUUCUGUCACCAUUUUUAAGCCAAAAAAUUAAGCAUUCCCCAUCACUUUUAAUUGCACGAGUAAAGGUGAUGAAUUUUGAUAGCAUACAGGCAUAAUAUCAGUUUUGUAUCUUCAAAGGAUGAAAUGCAGUUAUAUAACAUGGAUAUAAUUUUGAAAUCAGAUAAUGACAAUAAUAGCAAAGAUUAAAGAUCUUAACGCCUACUUCUUUGACAAAUUCUUUUUCUUUUUUAAUAAGCUUCUAAAUUUUACUUACAAACCUAAUAAUAUUGACUAAGACAACCAUGCACUAUCGAGUAAUAAUAAAGUUUUAAAUUUUUAUAUAAAUUUAUUUUGUACAAAAUUGAUUGGAAUAAAUAUUUUUUGACCCACAUAAUUUUUUUUAUUAUUCUAUAUUUUCACCUAAAUCACAAAUUUAUAUUAUAUCAAUUUGUACAAAAAUAAAAUUUUAUAAAAUUUUAUAAUUCUACGAUCAUUGUUUCCUAUAUAUAAGUUUUUUUUUUUAUAUAAAAAAAGCCAACUAACCAGACAUGAAAUCCCCAGGGGCCUGCAUUUAUAAUUCUAUUUAUCAUUGUCUUUGUUGAAUGAAGCUCAAAUGAGUAGAAUGGUACUAAUUCUUUGUAGACACGAGGCCAUUUUUAUCACACUGUUGAGUCACAUUUUUAAUUAGGUAUUGCCAUAGUCAAAAGUCAAUUCUUUUCAAUUGCUUAUUUUUCUUGCACCAAAAAGAAGAAAAAAUCUAACAAAACAAAGACGAUAUAUAUAAUUGUUUAUAGGAUUUGGCUCUGGUGCCCCUGUGACACAAUACCCCAAUUUUUUUCUUUAGUAAGUUAAUCUCUAACAAAUUACAGUUAGCUCCUUCAUCUCCCUUUCAUUUACAUUCUUUUUUUACCCCAACAUAAUGGCAAAUUGCAGUUAGGCUACUUUUCAACAUGCUUUUUGCCUGAUUUAUAAAGCUACUUUAUAUAAGCAUUCUUCUACACUAAAACAACUACUAAGAAGAAUUUGAAGGGCAAUCAAUUUUAUGUUCUAUUAAAAGUUUAAAACCAUACGUUGGCUUAAAUAGAUUAUUUUAUUAAUAUGCAGUCGUAGAUAGACAAUUUUGAAUGGAACUUUUCAUAAGAAAAUCAAAUCCUAAUUUAAUUGCGCAUGACAUGAUCACAAUUCAUAAAUACCAUUAUACUCUAACCACAAAUGAAACAAUCAUUUUGAAAUUAUUGCAACUAUAUAUAGUAUUUGUCUCAUAGCCCCUAGGGAACCAAAAAUUACACAAAGCCAUAAAAUUGAGCAAAAAGAACAAAUAAAAAUAAGCUAAGGUACGUAUCAACUCUUCUUUGAAAGCUGAUAUUGAAUAAGUUACAAUCCACAUAGGGACCAUUCAUCGCUUAAACCAUAAACACAUAGAUGCAGAAAGGAAAUAUCAUGCGAUGUAUUGGAUGGGUCCAUCACAGCCAAUGCAAGUUGGGCACUGCCUUUAUUAGCAUGGGAGCAAUUUUCUGUCAUCACAGCAACUUGAAUAUAUAUGUGGCUAUGAUUGCAGGGAUAGAAUUUAUUAUACGCUUGUCUGUUUGGAAUAUUCUUACUCACGUGUAUUUACUAUUACAUGUUAUUAUAUAUUUAAUUACGAGAUACGCGUGACAAAAGUUCAAGAAAUGUGAGGAUUAAUCGAGGGUAUUCAAGACUUUAUAAAAGAUUGAGAUUAUAAAAUUUCAAUUUAAAUAUUUAAGGUUAUGCAUGUAUUGGGACGAUUUGACAGUAAAUAACGGUGAAAUAUAUAGGUGCUAAAAGUCAUAUUUGAAGAGAAUUUUGUUUAAUUAAUUUGGUCUCUCAUUCAUGUGGAAUAUUUUCAUCAGCACUAAUUUGAAAUGAGACAGCUACGUGGUAAAUUAAUGAUAAAGGUGAUCACGAGAAAUUGUUAUUGAUUUGAAGAAUUUUCCUCACGAGAAAGAUGGUAAAACAAAUUCUCCAAUGCCUUUACUCCCAGGAUACUUGGUGGCUGAGUCGAUUUACUAUAUAUUUCUUUUCUUUUUUUAACACCAACUCAGAGAUACAAUCGGAAUCUAUUCUAACCUAAAUUAUAUUGUGAUACACUGAUACUAUCUAAAUUUUUAUUUUUAUAUUAUAAUCUGUAUUUAUCUUAUUAAUAUUCGAAGGACAUAUCAACUAAGUUACCUGUAUAUUUAAGAAAAGUUAUAUAUCCUUAUUCAAUUAUUGGAGGAAAAUGAAAAUCACCUAACUUUUUUAAGAGACUGGGAUGCCACUCAAAUCUACAGCUUAUUUAGUGCGAGUGAGCAUGGUUAUAUAAUUACCAGAUUGUCGGGAGAAGUACAAGCAAAUUACAGGACCACAACUUACUCCCAUCGUGUCAAAAAAUCUGAAUAUUUAAGGGAUACAUUACAACAAAUUCACCUCGAAAUUCUUCAUAGGGCGUAAAAGCGAAAAAAAAUUAAUAACUAACUGAACUGUGAGGAUUUUUAUUAUUGACAUUAUUGUGUCGAUGAAAAUGUAAUUUAUUUAUUUUUUGUAUUAAGAAUUUGUCUAGUCUUGAGUAUUUAUUAGAUUAGAUUAUGUGAAAUAUUAGAGAAUAUUUUUUGUGGCAUAAAGAAGUAUAUUGCAUGUAUAUGAGAUUAAAUAUCAAAGAGUUUCAAACAAAGGUGAUACUGCAUUACUAAUUAUAUCAAGUAUUUAUGCAAUAUUGAAUGCUUAAGGAAGUAUAUCUUAAUAGUCCUCUACUAGGUUAUGGGUAAAAUACUGCACCUAUAAAAAGGGAAGUAUUUCACACAUUGAAGAAAGAAGAUGACACAUCGUAUUUUAUAUAAAAAGAAGCGGCCAAAGCAUGGAACAAGAAGAAAAAUUAUCUUAGCCACAUAUGGUGUUUCAUGUCUCAGUGCAGUUUUGGUGUUUGAGUCUUCUUCAUAUUGAUGAAAUGGAAACAUUUAAAGAAGUUUGCUAGAAUAAACAAAGGUUUCUGAAUAAUGAUAAGCUUUAUUGAAAAGUCCAAAUGAAUAAAACUAAGAUUUUCAGCCCCUUUUAUAACAAGCCUAAAUAUCGCGAAUUUACCAAAAUAGGCAAAUCCAAAAUCUAAUAUGAUAAUUAAAUUCUCCUAAUCAAAAUAAGAAAAUAAAAACAAAUGGCACUUAAAUGUGAGUUUUAAAAAAAUAAAAAUCCUAGAAGAAUCAGGAAAAAUAAGAAAGAAUCUUAAAACUGAAAAAGACUAGGAAAGAAACAAAAUUUUAUAUUUGACCACAAGGUAAAAUAACUUAGGCAUUAUGAGAUUUGUUCGUCUCGUCGCAAGCUUCAAAACAAUAUAUUAUACAUUGAAAAUGGACACUUGUAACCUAAGUUACAGCCUCCAAAAGGUACACUGCUCACGACACACAACACCUACAUCAGUCCCCCUUACUUGGAAAAGAACUCGUCCUCGAGUUUGGCUCAUAUAAUUCCUCAUCAUCUAGAUGAUACUCAAAUAGAUCAGCCACAUUGAAAGUGUGAGAUAUGUUCCAGUUGUCCCGUAAUUGAAGCACAUAAGCAUUAUCAUUGAUCUUUCGCUUGGCUCGAAAUGGUCCAUACUUUUCCUUUUCCAAUUUAGUGCAAAUGUCAGGAAAACAACUUUGCCAUAGAUAUGCCAUCACCAAAUCUCCUCGCACAAACACUUUCUUACAACGGUGCUUGUCCGCUUCAGCCUUGUACUUAGCAUUGACAACCUUCAAGUGAGCUCAUACCUCGGCAUGAAUCUUCAAAGCCUUUUUUCCCGUAUUAGCAGUUGCUUUGCUAUCUCCAACCACAGCUAUUGUUGGCAUGACAACCAAAUCACACACAUUGCGUAGGGAACAAGUAUAGAUAAUCUUAAAAUGGGUCUUAUCAAUAGAUCGAUUCAUCAUGUUAUUGUAGGCAAACAACUUGAGGCAAUGUAGCUUCCCAGUUCUAUUGCUUGUCACCACAAACACACCACAACAUGUUGCCUAAAGUUUGAUUGACCACUUCUGCCUGCCCAUCUAUCUGUGGAUAGAAAGCGUUGCUAAACUACAACUGUGUUCCAAACUUAUCCCAGAGAUGGCACCAGAACAUGUUAAUAAACUUCAUGUCUCUGUCAGAAGUGAUAGUUUUUAAAACACUAUGCAACCGCACAAUUGCUCAAAAGAAUAAAUACGCUAUUGAAGCAGCAUUUUCAGUCUUUUCACAAGCAAUAAAGCGCGCCAUCUUUGAAAAUUUAUCAACCACAACCAAUAUAAAGUCUCGACCUGUCCUUGUGCACGGCAACUCUAACACAAAAUUCAUGGACAGAUCUAACCAAUUUUUUUUUUUUGGAACAAAUAAUAGCAAGGAUAAACCCAUCUUCUGCGCAUGCCCCUUACUUUUUUGACAAACCCGACACCUUUGCACUAUUUUCCGCACAUCUCUGCUCAACUGGGGCCAAUAAUAACGCUCCUUCACAAGCGCAUUGGUCUUAUCUCAUUCAAGAUGUCCACCCAAUCCUUCCUCCAUAUAACUCGUGAAUAAUUUGUUCCCUUAAAAAACUUCGAGGCACACAUAAUUGGUUGGCCUUAAAUAAGUAUUCAUCCUGAAUGAGGAAAUCCUCUGCAUUUUGAUGAUUGAUGCAAUUAUCCCAAAUAUGCAUAAAAUCGUCAUCAUUAGCAUACAACUCUUUUGAGCACUCAAAGCCAGUAAAUUCAUUGACUCAAGUUACCAGUAAAGUUACUCGCAAACGCAUCUGCCACUUUAUUCUGCUAUCUAAAUUUGUGCUUAAGAACAAAAGUGAACUUCUAUAUAUAACUCACCUAUCUCGCGUGCAUCUUGCUCAGGUUCUGUUGGCUGUUAAAGUACUUCAGUGCUUGAUGGUCGUUGAAGAGAACGAAUUCUUUCUAAAUCAAAUAAUGCUCCCACGUCUUCAAUGCCCUAAGGAUGACAUAAAACUCUUAGUCGUAAGUAGACCAUUUCGUUGUGCCUCAUUCAACCUUUCACUCAUAUACUCAAAUUGGCUGCCCUUCUUGGGAAAGAACAGCCCCAAUUCCCUUGCUAGAAGCGUCACACUUGACCUCAAAUAACUUGUCAAAGUUUGGUAAGGCUAGCACAUGAGCAAUAGACCUUUAAUAAAGCAAAACUCGCCUCUUCUUCUCCUCCCCAUUUAAACUUUCCUUUCUUUAAGGCUCUAUAAUAGGUGCGGCUAUAGUGCUAAAACCACGAAUGAAUCUCCUAUAAAACGUUGCCAAUGCAUGAAAGCUCAUAACUUUUCCCACAGUCUUAGGUGUAAGUCAUUCUUUAGUAGCUUGUAUCUUCGACUCAAUAGCCCGAAUCCUAUCUGCACCGACUAUAAAAUCCAAAAAUUCUACAUUAGUCUACAAAAAGUUAUACUUCUUCAUAUUAAUGUAAAGUUUAUUCCUCCAUAACCAUUCUCAAAUUCUCCAAAUACAUCACCACAACACCAAAAUAUCAUCAAAAUAUACCACAACACCAAAAUAUCAUCAAAAUAUACCACAACAAAUUUGCAAGAAAAAGGCAAAUCCAAAAUAGGAAAAUUGAAAAUCUAAUAUGAUAAUUGAAUUCUUCUAAUCAAAAUAAGAAAAGCAAAAUAAACGACACUUAAAUCCGAGUUCUAGAAAAAAAAGAUAAAAAAUCCUAGAAGAAUCAGGAAAAAUAAAAAAGAAUCUUAAAAUUGAAAACUGACUAGGAAAGAAACAGAAUUUUCAGUCCGACCACGGGGCAAAACGACUUGGACCAAUAUUGAAUAGCUUAAAAAGUAGGCCGAAGCUAUUUCAUUUUGCCAUAGUUGAUGAAGUUGACUCUGUUCUUAUUGAUGAAAGGAGAAAUCCAUUGUUAAGUGGUGAGAUAAUUUAGGGCUGCUUCUUUAGUGGCCGCUCGAAGUUAACUAAAAAGUGCAGCUAAAGAGAUAAUUUAAAGGGGUCAAAUAUCAUUGUUCUUCUUUUUUUAUGCACAAGAUGAGUGUCAAAACUUUAAGACACAUGUAUCAUUGUAUGAAAACAAAAAUGUGUUGGUAAGUAUUAAAUAUUAAAUGCAACACUCAAUUUUUCGUACUCUUGCUACAAUUCUUCCCGUCACCAAAGAUACAUCAACUCUCCAAUACCUCACUCAAAUCAACCAAAGAACCCCACUAGUGCCUGUGAAGUAUACCCUUGAUCUCGGUGGUCAGUUUCUCUAGGUGGUUUGUUUAAGAGAUUAAGUAUUUUGGGUUUUGUUCAUCUCGUUGCAAGAUUCGAAAUGAUACAUUAUAAGUAAAAAACGGACACUUGUAGCCUAAGUUACGGCCUCGGAAAAGUACACUGCUCGCGACACACAACACCCUACAUCACAUAUCAAGUCUUUCAUUUGACAUUAAUGAUUACUUUAGCAUCUUCGGAAUGAGAUAGUCAUUUGUUAUGUGAAAAGGAUCUCAAGAAAGCAGCAAACACAAUUGAAGACAAGUUCUGCUCGCUAAGCAAAGUCGACUAAAUUAGAUUCAACAGGUGACAACAAGAGUAAAAGAGAUUGCGUAAGAUUCUAAUAGGUUGUAAUAUUUUCAUUACUUAGUGAAUUGCUUAAUAUCUAAGUGUGGCCUUAUGAAGAAUGUAGAAUUGUGAUCCAACCACGUAAGAAUCUUCUAUGUACUUGACUUUCUACAAUUUACUGUUUCUAAUAUAUUUGAUAGAUUUAAGGUGAAUAAAUAACAAUUUUAGCAAUAUUAUGAAUAGCGAUGAUGAAUAGUAACUAUGAAUAGUAUCUCGUAAACGAUAUUAUAUAAACAGUAAUAAAUGAUUGUAUAAAUGGUAACUCAUGAAGACUGAUUGCAAAGAAUAUUGCAUGAAUAAUAGUAUGUGAGAGUGAUCUCAUAAUAUUAAUUAAUAUAAUUAAUAAUUCUCUAAUAUUUUAAUUUACUUACACUUAUUAAAAUAUAUCUAAAUUUUUGACAUAAACCUUUACAAUAAACAUAAAAAAUUUAAUAAAGAUGUUGAUUGAGUGUCCAUUUUUGUUUAUCGUGUAGGCCUUAGAAAAUUCAAUGAAUGGUAAUCAAUUGCUUCAUUAAUCAGUUCAUCAAUAAUUAGUUGAAGAUGAACUCUUGAAAUUAAUGCUAAAAGAUAUCAUUGCAAUUGUUGUGAAAUCCUACCAUCAACCAUAAUAUAAAAACAAAUUUUAGGCAUAUUUUAAUUGAAGUUUGCCUUUUUUAUUAUUCUAUAUCAUAGAAAGGAAAUUGUGAUAACUGGUCUGAUAAUGUACAUUGUUUUGUUCUAAAUCCUUUUAUACUGAAACCUUACUUAUGACAAACGUAGAGGACAAAAUUUGAUCCUAUACUAUCAAUCUGAAAGCUACCAAUAAUUAAUUAGAAGAAGCUAACUCUAAUUUUCUGGAAAUAAAGAAAAUUUUGUUCUUGGAAAUUCUUUCGUCUUAUUUCCCUCAUGAAUAAAUUAGUUGGUUUGUGUUGUUUUCAUGUAACAAAUAAGCAUGAUCGAUUUAUAUGCAAGUGGGCAGAUUUCAUUGCUCAUAUCAACGGCAAAAUGGUUGUUCAUCUUAUCAAGUAAUCCUUUCAUCAUCAACUCAUCACCCUAAAAGAAGCAACAAAAAAUCAGCCAUUGUUUUUCUUCCAAGAUAAGUAGACAGACAAUAAAAAACAAAUACUUGUUUCCAUUGCAAUUUCAAGUUUGCUUUCACUCAAGCUCAAUCAUGGCAUUUAAAGUAUUUCUGUCUAUACGUGAUUGGAUAGGAAUUGCGACAAUAAUGACACUACGAAACGUUAAUGCCAAAGGAUAUGAGUUGUUGGAGAAUGACGAAGUAGUAGACGUAAAGAGAUAAAAGUUCCAAAGAACAAUUUGGAUUUAUUGUAAUAGGUAGUAAUAAAAAGAUAAAAUUCAAGUUAGUGGUACUCGUACCCUUAACAUAACUCAACAUUUGUGGAGGGAGUGAGUUCGGAUCUGUGGCAUGAGAUCGAGCCCUCACAGGGGUUCAUUAAUUUCGAUAUUAAUGGGAGUAUAUUUCUAAAUUAAUGCUUACCACAUAUUUGGAUUGUAUUAUAAAUAUAUAUAUUUAUCUUGAGAUAUAUUUAUAGUUUGUAGCAAUUUCAAUAAUAAUAAUAAUAACAAUAACAACAAUAACAACAAUAACAAGUUACUCCUUUCAGUCUCUUUCUAUUCUAGGACUUCAAUAAUUAUACGUCGUGACCAAGCCGAAAAACUAACAAUAGAGAAUGAUUAAUAAAAAUAAGAGAAAUGUAAAUGAAGAUGAGCAUCAAGAGAAAAUGAUAGAUUGAUGGAGAAUUAAUGGUGCAAGUGUCAUCUCUUACGUGGAUAGGAAAUUAGUCUUUGUCAUUAUUCAUCAUCCUCACUCUCACUAAUUUAUUAACAUUAUUAACAAUGGUAGGCAAACUAUCUAGAUUAUGAAACGAGCAUCAUAUUUUGAGGUCUCCUUCACUAAUUAAUUCACCAAGUUUAGAAGUCAUCACAAAAUAUCAUUUUCAGAUAACUUAUUAUCGUCAAUUCUCUUCACUAAAAUAUAUAUAUAUAUAUAUAUAUAUAUAUAAUAAUACUUAAGAUAUGUGUCAUUAGCAUUAAUGAUCACGCACUAGGUGAUGUGCAAUUUUAUUAUUCAUCACUAUAUAAAGGUCUCGUUUGGGAUUAAGGUGUUGUAAAUGCUGUGGAAAAAAAAUUGUAACUAUUAAAGAAAAAUUAAUAAUAUGUAGUAAAUAUAAAUUUUAAAUAAUAAUUUUGAUAAAAUUAUUAAAGAUAUAAUAGAUUUUUUUGAAAAAUUAUAUUAACAUAUCUUACAAGCUACAGCAGCUAGUGUUCACCAAACACUUUAGUGUUGUACCUUUUAAGUUACAGCUGCCCAAUCUCAAUCUCAAACGCACCCUAAAUCAACAAUUAUUAAUAAAUGAUUUGUCAAAUGGUACAUCAUGUGGGAUACAAAAUGUGUAUCUUAUUGUAAUAUUACAUACGGGAAUGAUUUUUUUUUUUUUGUGUAACAAAAAGCUAUUAAAAAAUAGAAUUAUCUUGAAAUAUUAAAAUGUAAAAUUGAUAGAGUUUGGUCAAGAAGCAAUGCAAUAUAAUUUUAACGAUGAAUAAUAAAAUGACGAAGUUGAUCGGACUAAUGAUGGGAUCAUCAAAAACUUGAUAGCUAGGUCUAUGUUUAGGGUUGCUUGAGAUUGUCAAAUGAGUAAAUAUCUGAUUAAUGAUGGGAUGACUUAAAACUUCAAGUAAGCCUGAAGAUCAAUGGAAACUAAUCAAAGUCGCAAACAGCUCAAGAUAUUAACGAAACGUGGGCCUUUAGGCUUCAGGCAUAAAAGAAUGGUACUAAAUACACUUCCAGCUUUACAGUCCAUUUGUAGAAGUGUGAUUCUAAAAGCAGCACCUCUCUUCUUGGACAAACCCACUUCCAAAAGAAACCAUAAAAGCAAUGCAUAGGCCAUCUGUUUUUGCUUUUGGGCCGUGAGCAACGAAACUGACCCGCUCAGUUUGGUCAGCAACAGAUAGUUUGAUACUAUAUUGUGUCCAUAAAUAUUUUGAAUUCAAUGUACAUUCAAGAUGCUCUCUUAUGGAUUUUAAUUUAUGGUUUCAUUUGUCUCUUUUUCAUGUUAUACAUAACCCAGAAGAUGUGGACCAAAGGUAGUGAGAACAACCCAAUCAACUUAUUUAACAAAGUCAUAUGGCUAAGCAUACUUGUCCUUUUUGUUUUUUUUCAUUUAUUUUAUUUUUAUCUUGCCAAAAAAAAAAAAAGAGGGUGAGCAAAGUCUAAAUCAAUUUCUUAGUCUUUACUCCUCUCUCGAGAUUAAUUUAAGCUCGGAUGGUUAGUUAAAAGAAAUUACUUAAAAAACUAAUUGAUCAAACCUUGGGGCAAGUAUACUUAUCUUUUAAAACAAAGUUAGUUAUGGCUUUAAAUUACACGAAUAGUGAUUAAAUGCCAAACCCAUUUGCCUAAAAUGACAUUAUAAUACUAUUCUGGACUGCUAUCUAGUAUUGGUGCAUGAUUGUGUAGUAGGCAAAAGUUGGUCCUUUGCUAAUUUAACUCACUUGUCUUCAAGUAGGAGCUGCUAGCUAGCCCUGUUCAUGAUGCACGGGGCAAAGGGGUUUAAAGAAUUAAUAUAUGCCGACGUCUAUAGUCGAUUAGCAAUUAAUAAAACUUAACUUUCCUAAUCAACUUUUUUACCGUCCCUUUUGUCGGUAGGAAGCCCUUCAAUUCCUACUACUUUUUCCAUUAGUUUAUUGAUUAGAAAUUCUUGCCCAAAUUGUGCUACAAGUAAUAGACUAUUAGGUGUUGAAUCAUUAGUCAUAACUUGUAAGGAUAAAAUUAACUAUAUAAGUGGGUCCUGUCUGUAAUUUUUUUUUUCCCAAUUGAAAACAUAAUAACCCUUUUGGUUUGGCUUUUAUUUGAGUUUGAAAGUAACUGAGUUGAAUAUGCUGUUCUAGGGAAAAAUAUAUAUAUUACAGGCAUUUAAAUCCUUUGCUUUAGAACUUGACCCAAAAGGUGAGUUUAAGCUUUGGUCGCAGGAAAUUAACCUAUCUCGGUAAUCAAGAAUCUUAUAAACGAUGACCUUGCAAGCUUUUCCUGAAAAGAAUAAUGUCAGAUUUACAAAAAGGAGAUACAAAAUUCGUAUGCCAGCUAAUAUGAUAUCGAUAUCUGACGUAUAUCAUUUGAUUGAAUUAUGUUACAUAAUUGUUACAUUAAUUGUGGUAUAAAAAGGGCAACAACUCCUUAGCACUUGACAGUAAAGCUAACAUUUUAUUAUCUCUAAAGAAAGUUUGUAAAAAUUAUUAAACAACUUCCGUUUGUUGUCGAAGACGACCUGAAUAGAUGCUUUUGGGUUCUCUUGACCAAAUGAUGGUUCCUAAGAUGUAUAGAAAUUAACUUAUAAGUGCAAUGUAAUGCUUCAUUGAGAAAGUGAGAUGCCACGUUGAAAGAGACAUUCGGGUUCCAAGGGAGAAGAAUUUAAGUCAAGCAACUGGCCCCGGCGCCAAUUUUUUCAAGACUUUGAGAACCGACUAAAAAGAGAAGCUCUAACUUUAGAUAAAGAAACUCUAAUGUCUCUGUAAGAAAUCAUUAAGGUGCCCAGAGAUUUCAAAGUUUAAAUCCUAUAUCUAUUGUCAAUCCAUAGCCUAAUGCAUGCUUUUCUGAAAGAAAUAGGAAAAAUUAACUAAUGCAUGCUUUUCUGAAAAAAAAAAGGAAAAAUUAACCCAAAAAAAAAUCAAUGAUUCAAUGCUUCAUUGUAAAAGAUAUAGAUGCCUAUGGCAAUAUUGAACGAUAAAUGAUAGUUAACUGUUUAUAUCCUCGUUUUUAGAUGUUUUUUUUUUGCUUUCAUGUGCCCAUUUCUAAUCCCAUGGCAUGUGGUUGCUACAUAAUUCAAUUAGUAAAAUUUCUUAACUUAGAAUAAGAGAUUUAAAGUUCGAACUCAGCUCUUAGUAGAAAGUAAAUCUAAUUACUAAUUCUUUAUGCUUAACGGAAUUUAUUAAAAAAAAAUUCUCUUACCACAACUGCAAUAAAGUUUGAGAGAUUGGGAUGAAGUAUUGUUUUGUAUACGUCUAGAUAUGGACAAAAUGGCCAACAAAUAUUGAUUUAAAUUUAAAAGAAUGGGCAAGUAAUUACAUAAUGCCGCCGAGGCAUGCAAAUCAUAGAGUACUCUUAGACAUUGCACAUGCUGUUUCUUGAAAAAGGGUGGAAGAAAUGGUUACCAUUGAUAGAAAUUGGCCCACAUAGAGCAAAAUUUUGUGCUUGUUGUGGAGCUUUCAAUAGGAAAAAUUGGAGCAUAAGGUGAGUUCAAGAAGGGAUCGACUUUCUUGGGCAUGAAGUGAAAUAGAUCAUUUCCUUGGCUUAGAAACAAAAAAUCAUGGGACCUUUUGUUCGUCAAUAAGGGAAUGUAAAGGCCAUAAUGUAUAAAAUACAUGCUCACAUCUCUAUAUAGGCAGACCAAGUUCUUAUUAUGGUUUGUGGAGGGCCAGUGUGAUUAAAUUGCAAAAAGCCAAGAACUUGAGGAGUUGAGGUGCAUCGUGAAUGGCAAAAAACCAGUUGGUUUCCAAUGCUUUGUAGGCCUGAGAGUCAUAAAUAGAAAUUAAAAUUUAUAUUUUCUAUUUCCAUUAAAGAGAUUUUAUUAUCGUCAAUUUCAAUUCAAGAAAUUUUACCUAUCCAACCAACUAACUCAUAAUUUCUUAUUUUAUUUAAUUAAACUUAUUUUCUAUUAGAAUUUUUGUUGCUAGUAUAAUUAUUGGGCAAAUUAAUUGUUUCCAAAAGGGCAUCAUGCAUUAGUUCCUAUCAUUUUUGUUAACUUCAUAUAAUUAUGAGAAAUUCUAUAAACAGAUUCUUAAAGAUUUUAGAUUUACAAGCUAUAAAAUAAGAUGAAAAAAAAAUUACCUUACAAUAGUUGUAUGUUACAAUGAUCGUAAGUUUUUGUAAGAUAGACAGACUCAAUAUACGAUGAGUUAAAAAUAUCAAAUAUAUAUCAAUUAUUCAGAGGUAUGUAAAGAACAUUCAUUUUUUAUAUUCUACUAACAUCGUGUUGCUAAAGAAUAAUGUUAUACUAGUUUAGUUAGGAUACCUAAUUUAUAUUUCAAUUGAUGUGACAUUAUUUGAUUAGCUUAAGUGAUUGUUAGUUAUUAAAUUUUAUCAUUUCACAUAAUUUGAAAUAUAAACAAAAUAUUUCAACUAAAUAAAACAUAGCAUUACUCAUUUUUAAAAAUUUUAAGUUAUUGAAAAUAACGAAUAUCUCCUGUUGUAUAUAUAAUAUAUUAAUACCCACAGAAUGAUAAAUUUAUUAAAAUAAAAGAAUUGCAAAGAAUACAACUAGCAGCUAGUUCGAGAAGGAUCUAAGCGAGCCUUACUCUUAACAAAUUAACCAUUUUCAAAGCCUAUACCUAUUAGAAAAGACACUUAAAAAUAAUGAAUAAUCAAACAGAUCUGUAGUAAGGUACAUAUCUCAAGAUAAUGUGAUGUAAUCAAUUAUGAAUUUAUGUUGGACUAUUAAUGUUGUUGUUACACUAGGGUGUUAUAAAAUAUGUAACUAGCUUCCAAGGAUAUAGGCAAGCAAUGACGUUAUCUAGGAUAUAUAACAUGUACAUGUGCAUGAAACUCAUACAAAAGAAUAAAGGUGCAUGAGUCAUGACUUAUGUUACGAUCACCGCCAAUUUUUUAUUAUUUAUAAUAAUUUUAUCGUUAGACUUCUCAUAAAUUAUAUAGAAUAUUUAUAAAGUUAACAUAUAUAAGUUGUUGAUGCAAUAAAAAAAUUUAUUAUUAACAAAAAUUGUAUCGUGAUAUAACAUAUAUAAGUUCUUUUCUCAUACGGAAGCUUUUAUUUUAUUUUUUUCAUAUGGCAUAUUAUUAAACUAUAUGGUGUAAUAGAGUCAGUGUGGAUGCGCUAUUAAACUACGUAAAAAAAACAAAAAUGAGGACACUAGAACAUGGGAACGACUUUAUUAAAAGUAAUUUUCAAUAAAUCCACUGUGCCAUGAAAGGUUAUUAAACUUUCUGUAUUUUUUGGCACACGGUUGGCCCUUGCACACAUAAUGACAAAAUUAUGUCAAACUUGUGUUGCUUCUUUACAUUUCAUCAAUUCGUCAUCCCUACUCAAUUUCGCUUUACUCGUUUUUAUGGAAAAAUAAAUCAUUUGACAUCAUCACAAUUAUUUUUACGAAGAGACUAGUGGAUUAGAUUACACCGGUAGUUCAUUGAUGAGGAGAUAAAUGUGAGACACAUUUUAAAUUCAAAUGGCUGAAUUCAACUUUGCAUAAAAUGUUUAAAAAAAAAAAAAGAAUUUAUUGUAGUAAACAUUUGAUGUUUAUUAUGAUCUUAAGAACAAAUAUAUACAAACUGAGCAAUAUAGGUAGUCUGAUUUCUCAACAAAUACAACCUAGAUCAUAAAAAUUUAUGGAUCAAAAUCUCUCAUAAUAUGAGAAUUAAUUAAAAUAGAAUAUAAUGAAGAGAAAAAUCUUGAUCAUACAUAAAAGUAUCCAAAUGCAUGCAACACUCGUGAGGCUAUGAAUAGUAGAGGCAAGAUUGAUGAGAUGGAGAUGGGUCCACAUUGCUCAAUUAAAAAAGGUUACGCAACUAUAUAUGUAAAAUCAUUUCUCAAAUUAAAUGAGGUUUAAGUGAAUUCAAAAGCAAAAUCGUGCGGUAUAGGCCCAUGUCAUGCUCUCGUAAUAGUAAAUUAUCAUAUUAGGUAGGUUUAAAUUGGGAGAAGACUUAAAUAAAGAGAAGAUUAUGCAUAAAUUGUCUUAAAUGAGUAGAAUACUCGAAUAAAAAGAAGAUCCUAAAAACCUAAUUGCAUGAAAAUUAUGCUUAAUUUUGGUGGGGUUGGCCACCUACGGUCACUACGUUUCCUCAUUGCAAAGUAAUUACUUUUUUUUAUUUAAUUUAAAAAAAGGAAAGUUAUCAUUAUUAUUAAUGGGCCUAAUUAGAUAACAAAGAUGAAAAUCAUGUGACACUGUUUUAUAAAGUUUAAAAUUUGGCAAGUAACCCUCCAUAAAGCCCCCGUAACUUUAGACCAUUUUGUCUCGUAAUCAUAACAAUUAGUCCACCUUUUUCUCUCUUUGAUCUUUGUAAAUUACUACAACCAUCAAGAGUAAUCUUUCCCCCAAGUGACCUAUACUAUUUAUUUCUUUUAUAUAUAUAUAAAUAUAUUUUUUCUCUUAUCUGGGUUUUUUUAUUUUCACAAGACAAACAAAUUUUAUUUAUCUAGGUAGAGCACGUGUUGUGAAAAUCUAAUUUUUAAUAAUUAAAUUAUUUCUAUAACAACAGAAUCAACGAAAUACCACUCUUCACGGAAGAAGAAUUAUGAUCAUCACUAUAAUCUUUCGAUGAGACAAAUGAUGAUUAUUAAUUUUAAAUUCUUGAGCCCACCAAGGUCUUUUCUUCAAUUGAGGAUGCAUGUUUUUACUAUUAUAAUCAUGACCCAAAAAUAUACUUUCAAUUUUAAGACGAUCGAAUUAGCUGUAAAAUUAUGGACAAAGAUGGCAUCCAUUUAAGUGUGAGUUACAGUAAAACAAACCAAUCUUUUGCUUGGCAUGAGAAUAAUGAACGGCCUCGAAUUGGUGGGCUGCUAAAUAAACUCAGUUAACUCCAUAGAAAGGACAAUAAGCUUAGUUUAUUUCAUAAACUUCCUUAUUUUUAGAACUAACGUUUUUUUUUUUUUUUUUUGGGUUAAAAAUAGUCACACAUAUAAAAUAAUAAUAAUUUGUGUGCCAAAAGAAAAAAAUAUAUGAUUAUUUGUAGAAAAAAAAAAAGAAUUUUCAUGGCCAUUACGUAAACAAGCUUAGUUUAUUACAUAAAAAGGACAAUCACAUUUUUGUAGUUUUAGAAAUUGAUUACAUAAACUUACUUAUUAUCAGAACCAACACUUCUUAUUUUUUUUGGGUUAAAAAUAACCACACAUGCUUCUAUGAGCUAUAUCAAAAUGAUAAUUUGUUGUGUUUAAAAAAAAAAUUGUGUGAUUAUUUCUAGAAACAAAAUAAUUUUCAUGACCAUAACGUAAAAUAAGCGUCGCCGUCAAUGUUCGUAAAAUAAGCGUCGCCGUCAAUGUUCCCUCCCUCAAUCAGGAUUCACAAUUGUCAAAAUUGAUCAAAAUUAAUUAUACUAUUAAAUACGUAUGAGAUAAAAACAAACGUAACAAGUACUAUCAAAUCCAGACUCAAGACUCAUUUUGUCAAAUACAUACUCUUAUUUAAAUGCACGAAUUUAGAAUUUCUUUUUCUUUCAUGUGAAGUUGAAAAGGACCAGAUUCCUCUAAAAUAUUGCCAAACAAAAACCCAAAAAAAAAAAAAAUUGCAAUUCCUCGCAUUUCUUUCUUGCACGCUUAUCUUUCCAUAUCGGAGCGUAAAAAUCACGCGACAUAACUUGGCGCGUAUAUUACUCAACUCAAACAAAAAACGGUAUAAACAUAACCGUAUAUAAAAAUCGUAUAAUACAAAAUCUAAACUAUAUAUAUAUAGACUAACAUAUUCACUAACGCCGUCAUUCACGUUCUACCAUUAUUUUUUUUAAUUUUUGUAUUUACAUAAAAUCAGAAUUAAAUCUACACUACGUCUUACACGUGUCUUCUCCCCACGCAUGGGCCAGUUAAUACUCUGCGAACGAUCUAUGAGACGGUGACGGCAACGGUGACGGCGGCAUUGACGGAGGAGGAGCCCUCAAGUUUUCGAAAUAUUCCCUUAUAUCCACUCCACCACCAGACAUUGCUUUCUCCGUUAAAUCAUUCUCCUCCCUGGACGGAAUAAACGGCGGCCGUAACACAUCCGUUAGAAGAUCCCACCUCACGCCUUUGAAAAACACGUGCUCCUUGAUCUCGCACGCGCCACGUAGAUAUCCCAGCCUCUUCACGGGAUCCUUCUCCAGCAGCCGUUGUAUCAAAUCCGUCAGGGCCGUACGUUGCCCAACGAACUCCGGCGUUUUCAUCAGGACGUUUCGAAACGUCUCCUUCCUAUUCUUCCCUCGAAACGGCGUCGUCCCGUACAUCAUCUCGUACGUUAGGAUUCCCAAAGCCCACCAAUCAACAGCGAACUCGUGUCCGUCCCCACGUACUACUUCAGGUGACACGUACUCUUCGGUCCCGACAAACGAGUUGGACCGUUCCCCGUUGUCGAAACUCUGUUGCCGUCGACUCACUGGGCUGACCCGGGCCGAUUUUGUCUUCUUCAACCCGGUUUUGUUCUCGGGUAAAGCGUGGAGCCAUCGAGUUAAGAUUCUACGGUGUCGUUUAGGAUUCUCGGUAACUGGAAGUACCGGGAACUUAUUAUUAUUAAGGGAUUGUUUCUCGAAGGUGGUCUUCUUAACUAGGUUACGAGAGAGGUCGAAGUCGGUGAGAGUCACGUGACCCGACUGCCGAAUCAAAAUGUUUUCGGGUUUCAAAUCUCUGUAAGCAAUGCCCAUGUUGUGGAGAUGCUCGAUGGCGCAAAUGAUUUCUGACAAGUAAAAGCGGAUGACGGAAGGGGAGAAAACGCGGUCGUUUUGCUUGUAACGGAGGACGUUGAGGUCGCCACCGGGGCAAUAAGGGACGGCCCAGGCGAGGAACUCGUCGGUUUCUAAAGAUCCGAGAAGCUUCGGGAGAAAUGGGUGGGAGAGUCGGGACAGGACCCGGAUUUCCCAGCGGGCGCGUCUUUCAGCUUCGUGUUUUGCAUGGAGGGUAGAUUUGUCGACAACCUUGAGAGCGAACGGGCAGCGGGCAGUUGGGUCAGCUGCCCGGUCGUGGACUAAGAAGACCGUGCCCAUCGCGCCUUUGCCGAGGAUUUUUAGAGCUUUGAGGUUGUCGAGGUCUAAAGACGGCGUCGUCUGCGGCUGAGGUGGUGGAGUUGGCUCCAUAAUUUGAGAAAGAAAGAGAGAGAGAGAGAGAGAAAUCAAGUGAGGUUUUCUUUUCAGAGAGUCAGAGAGACACAAGGUUGGUUUUGG
rnacentral:lncRNA from 1 species